UACGUAGGUGGCAAGCGUUAAUCGGAAUUACUGGGCGUAAAGCGUGCGCAGGCGGUUUUGUAAGUCUGUCGUGAAAGCCCCCGGGCUCAACCUGGGAAUGGCGAUGGAUACUGGCUCGCUAGAGUGCGGUAGAGGAGAGUGGAAUUCCCGGUGUGAGCAGUGAAAUGCGUAGAGAUCGGGAGGAACAUCAGUUGCGAAGGCGGCUCUCUGGACCAGCACUGACACUGAGGCACGAAAGCGUGGGGAGCAAA
rnacentral:rRNA from 1 species